GGACUACCGGGGUAUCUAAUCCUGUUUGCUCCCCACGCUUUCGUGCCUGAACGUCGGUACUGGUCCAGGAAGUCGCUUUCGCCACUGAUGUUCCUUCCGAUAUCUACGCAUUUCACCGCUACACCGGAAAUUCCACUUCCCUCUACCGUACCCUAGCUAUUCAGUCUCGAAUGCAAUUCCCAGGUUGAGCCCGGGGCUUUCACACCCGACUUAGAUAGCCGUCUACGCACGCUUUACGCCCAGUAAUUCCGAUUAACGCUCGCACCCUCUGUAUUACCGCGGCUGCUGGCAC
rnacentral:rRNA from 1 species